UUCAUCAAUUUGCUGUCAAACACCAAAACCUAGCCUGGCCCUGCGUUGACACAACUUCCACCCUCAUUUUCCUGUCAUAAACAGCAGACUAAACAUUUGUCCUAUCCUUUCUCUCAAGCCUCAUUCCUUGCCUUUUUCAAGAAACAGUCAGCACACCUCUAAAAAGGAUGAAACCUGGCCUGGCUUGACAACAUUCACAUCAUCUUGAA
rnacentral:lncRNA from 1 species